CCCCUCCCCGCCGUUCAAGUUUCUGCGCCCGGAGGACGCGGCCCUGGCCAAUCCCUGGGCUACAGGGCGCUUUUAAAAUGCAGGUACCCCCAAGCGCGUUUAUGGCUGAGAAGCGUCCCGGGGUGAGGGGCAUUCCUACCCUGGGACCGCAUAGAGCGAACCCGCUUAAGCGACCCGGGGCGGCCCGCGUCCCGGAGCGCGCUCCUGCGCAGCCGCUGAUGCCCCGUGACAAUCGCUCCAGCGUCCCCCAACCCCCAGCGCCGUGUGCCUGAGCCUCUCCGCCAGGCCUGUUCUAGGGGGCUGGACAGCAGAGGCCACCGCCCGCGGGGAGCAGCCGAGGACCACGCUAAAUAGCGGAGAGACCGUCCCAAGUGCUGCGCAGGGACCUGAAGACAAGCCACUGCCUGCCUGCGUGAGCAAUCACUUUAGAUCUGUGGUCAGGAGGGACUCCAGCGCAUGGAUCUGAGUGACAAGGACAAAGAGAGAGGGAGGGUGUUGCAGGUGCAGGGAACUGUGGUGCGAGGACCCUAGGGCGCUGGAUAAACACUGUGCUGGCGCCGGCGCUGUGCAUAGCAGGUAAAGCCACCACCUGUGACGCUGGCAUCCCGUGUGGGCACCAGUUCGAGCCCCGGCUGCUCCAUUUCUGACCCAGCUCUCUGCUAAUGCACCUGGGAAAACAGCAGAAGAUGGCCCAAGUGCUUGGGCCCCUGCACCCAGGUGGGAGACCCAGAAGAAGCUCCUGGCUCCUGGCUUUAGCCUGGCCCAGCUCCAGCCGUUGCAGCCAUUUGGGGAGUGAACCUGGGGAUGGAAGACCUCUCUCUCUCUCUCUCUCUCUCUCUCUCUCUGUAACUCUGUCCUUCAAAUAAACAAAUAAAUAUCCUUAAAAAAAAAAAAAAAGAAUAAAAAAAACCCCACUGUGGUCUUGAUGAACAAAGAAAUGCUGAAAAGCAGGCACGCAGGAACCCAGACCCGGCUGGAGGAAUGACUACCUCUGCACUGACCCCUCCUGGGCGCAGCACCCCACGGUGCAGUACCCAGGAUGCUGAAUGCUGUGUGGAUGAACCUCGCACUUGCAGCCAGCAGCACUGCCCUUAUCUUCUGUCUGGUCUCGCCUGCGUUCUAGCAAUGGCUUUCUGUUUUAUACCACGCCUUUCCCCCUCUUAUUGUGCAGCUCCGUGUAGCUGUCAUUCAUGCGUUUGCUUUCUUUUUCCUUAAAAUUUGUUUAUUA